GCCCCUCAGUCAACUUUUCUUUAAUAAAGUAUGUUGGGUAUAAAAUAUCCCCCAACCGAAGUUCGUAUCAGGAGUGACCCUCCCGGGACUCUACCGACGUCCAACCUUGGGCGACUCUUUUCGAACCUCUCCGGCGGUCGAGUUUCCGCAAUGUUCCCAAGUUCGCCGAUGGAUAAACUCCCACAGCUUCUUCCACAAGUGUCGACCGGAUUCUCCCGACGGACGAACUCC
rnacentral:lncRNA from 1 species